rnacentral:tRNA from 1 species
UAUAUUUUAGUGUAAGGUGCACAUAAACUUUUGAUGUUUGUGGAAACAGUUCAAUUCUGUUAAAUAUAA